rnacentral:tRNA from 1 species
GGUAUGUUAGCUCAGAGGUCUAGAGCAUCGUGCUUAUAACGCGAUGGUCACGGGUUCAAACCCCGUACGUACCA